AUUGAACGCUGGCGGCAGGCCUAACACAUGCAAGUCGAGCGGAGCGGCGGACGGGUGGGUGAUGACUAGGGAUCUACCUGGCAGUGGGGGAUGACUCACGGAAACGGACGCUUCUACAGCCUACGCUCAGUUCAGUCUAGGUCGUAUGAGAGAGUUGGUGGGGUAAUGGCCUACAUAGGCGACGAGCCGUAACUGGUCUGCGAGGAUGAUCAGUCACACUGGGACUGAGACACGGCCCAGACUCCUACGGGAGGCAGCAGUGGGGAAUAUUGGACAAUGGGCGAAAGCCUGAGCGAGCCAUGCCGCGUGUGUGAAGAAGGUCUUAGGAUUGUAAAGCACUUUAAGUUGGGAGGCGUUACCGAAAGAAGAAGCCACGGCUAACUACGUGCCAGCAGCCGCGGUAAUUC
rnacentral:rRNA from 1 species